AUUGAACGCUGGCGGCAGGCCUAACACAUGCAAGUCGAGCGGAUGAAGAGAGCUUGCUCUCUGAUUUAGCGGCGGACGGGUGAGUAAUGCCUAGGAAUCUGCCUGGUAGUGGGGAUAACGUUCCGAAAGGAACGCUAAUACCGCAUCCGUCCUACGGUAGAAAGCAGGGGACCUUCGGGCCUUGCGCUAUCAGAUGAGCCUAGGUCGGAUUAGCUAGUUGGUGAGGUAACGGCUCACCAAGGCUACGCUCCGUAACUGGUCUGAGAGGAUGAUCAUUCACACUGGAACUGAGACACGGUCCAGACUCCUACGGGAGGCAGCAGUGGGGAAUAUUGGACAAUGGGCGAAAGCCUGAUCCAGCCAUGCCGCGUGUGUGAAGAAGGUCUUCGGAUUGUAAAGCACUUUAAGUUGGGAGGAAGGGCAGUAAGUUAAUACCUUGCUGUUUUGACGUUACCGACAGAAUAAGCACCGGCUAACUUCGUGCCAGCAGCCGCCGUAAAAC
rnacentral:rRNA from 1 species